CGUAUAUCGUUGAGUAAUUGAUGAUUCACAGUGAAAAUGGUCUUCCUUUCCACUUCUUAUUUAAUCUAUCCUUAUAAUCUCAAACCAAGUAAAUCCAUAUACCAUGCGUUAAACAAAAAAAAAAAGCCACGGUAGUUGUCGCAAUUUAACAACCUAUCACGUGCUAGCCUUGACCGCGAAAUUAUUCCAGUCAUGAGCAACGCUAUCGAUAAUUUUUUGAGCGAUUUUUUUGUUACAUUAAAAAUAACUGGAUCUGGGAUAACAUAAAUUUUGUUGUUAUUCCAUUAUUAUGACGUGUCAGUGUGCUAAUCGCCGGGCCGUAACUGUUCUUUUACCACGUACGUAUGCCACAAUAUGAAAAAAAAAACAUCAUAGCAGUAGUUUUACUUGUAAUAGUGUGGGGCAAAGCAAUUAAAGCCAUGCCCAUCCUCUUCCGGUUUAAUCGGCUUGGUCUCGCCCACCUUAACAGCCUUUAUGUGCUUUCAUCUCUCCGAUGAAUUCGAUUGUUUCACAUUUAUGUGGGCCUGUUGACAAUUGUGUUGGUGGUAUACUCGCUCGGCAUUUCUUCAUUGAAUACUUAUAAUAAUGACAAGUGUUGCAAUAUUGGAAAAGAGGGAAAUACAAGCAAUUAAAUCUCAGUUAUCGUAUUUGAACAGUUGAACGUGGAUGAAACGAUAAUGAGCCAAUUAGUUCAGGUAAAUGACCGAUUCGCAGAGGAUGUCACCAAGAUAAUCAACAUUGUCUCCCCCGUCACCGACUCCCCCUCGAUUCCGGAGAGAAAGACAACACCAAGUAGUGGUACACCUUCAUUUGUCAUAUACUUAGUUGAUCAUAUAAGGUACCCUUGACAUAGUUGCUCUUAUAAAAUUAAAUUAUACCGUUCGUGGCACUCUUCUAAGUUAUUGGGAAAACCAGGAUAAGCUACAAAAUAUAUAUAUAUUUUUUUUUCAUCAAAACCCAGCUCAAAUUUCGUUGUGAAUAUAAUUACUUUUAUUUAUUAGCACAAGUCAUUGCAAUUACACAAUCUUUUGUCACUUAACUAUUUUGACAGUGAUUUUAAAAUAAUAUUCAUUUAUGAAGAUAAUUUAGGAUUGUUAAAGAUUAAUGAAAAAGUAUGGGAUAUACAAAGCUGCAUAAAUUACUUUUUCAAUUUUAUAUUGUUUUUUUUAAAUUACACUUAUCUAGGCGAAUGAUUCACUUAUUUAUUUUUUGUAUUUAUACAGAUUGGUGAAUAUGGUGUAGGUACUACUUCAUAAUGCAAUUUAGUUAUUCUAACAUAAUUAUUAACAAAUAAGCGAACUCUUUUAUAAUUUGAACAUUGGAUGAAAUUGAGUUCCUAGAGAAUUAUAACGUAAUCUGCUAAAUAUUCAAUACCAACAAUUAUUCAUUUAUUGCAGUGAAAAAUU